rfam:Leucoagaricus sp. SymC.cos contig4931, whole genome shotgun sequence.
GCCCGCCUAGCUCAAUCGGAUAGAGCGUCAGACUCUUAAUGUGCGCAGGCGAUUGCGAAAUCUGAAGGCUGCGAGUUCGACCCUCGCGGUGGGCU